GCCUGAGUGGCUUAUUUGGUUAAGUGCCUGACUCUUGAUUUUGACUCAAGUCGUGAUCUCACAGUUUGUGAGAUCAAGCCCCGCCUCAGGCA
rnacentral:tRNA from 1 species